UCCUGACCGUGCGAAGGUAGCGUAAUCACUUGUCUUUUAAAUGAAGACCUGUAUGAAUGGCAUAACGAGGGUUUAACUGUCUCCUUCCCCCAGUCAAUGAAAUUGAUCUGCCCGUGCAGAAGCGGACAUAAAAACAUAAGACGAGAAGACCCUAUGGAGCUUUAGGCCAAGGACCAAUCAUGUUAAGAGACUACAAAACCAAAAAGAACAAAAAAGUCAACAAACCAAAUGCAACCUCGUCCAAGUGCCUUCGGUUGGGGCGACCACGGGGAAAAAAGAAACCCCCACAUGGAAUGGAAAUUAUUUCCUUAAACCAAGAAAAACAAUUCUAAGCAACAGAACAUCUGACCAAUAUAUGACCCAGGAAAACACAUCCUGAUCAAUGAACCAAGUUACCCUAGGGAUAACAGCGCAAUCCUUUCCCAGAGCCCAUAUCGACGAAAGGGUUUACGACCUCGAUGUUGGAUCAGGACAUCCUAAUGGUGCAGCCGCUA
rnacentral:rRNA from 1 species